UACAGAGACUGCAAGCGUUAUUCGGAUUCACUGGGCGUAAAGGGUGCGCAGGCGGCCAAGUGUGUCAGGUGUGAAAUCCCGGAGCUUAACUCCGGAACUGCGCCUGAAACUACUUGGCUAGAGCAUUGGAGAGGGAAGUGGAAUUCACGGUGUAGCAGUGAAAUGCGUAGAUAUCGUAAGGAAGACCAGUGGCGAAGGCGGGUCUCUGGACAGUUCCUGACGGCUGAGGCACGAAGGCCAGGGGAGCAAACGGGG
rnacentral:rRNA from 1 species